rnacentral:lncRNA from 1 species
CUAGAUUCCCAUAUUCUAAUGGUGUGCUCCCUAGAGUACAAUGGUGACAUGUACAAGGGGCUUUCAUAGUUAAGACCUCUUGCCUUGCAAGCUGCAACGAAGUGUGAACAUGGAAGGUGCAACAAUUAAGGAAUGUUGCAGGUGCACGAAAUUUCAUUCAGAUCCACUCUGUAGUGUCGGCCUCCAUGGCUCUCACCCCCAACAUUAGUAGUACCAGAACCUCUUAUAAAUUAUACCAUUCUUUCUAGCCCAUACGGUUCUGGUAAGUGGUGCACAGACCUAAGCUCAGCCUUUGAUAUAAAUUCAUCUGCAACCUUCCCAGUCCUAUGACCUUCAUCCAACAUUGCACGUGCCUUUUGCCAUCGGUCCACAAAGUAGGCGUUGCAUUUUUCGAAGGAGUAUUCAAUAAUUCCAGAAACGGGCCUACUUUGGAUGCCUUUGAAAACAACGUUUAGUGAUUCUGAGUAGUUCGUGGUCAUAAUACCCCAACACAUCCCUCCCUCAUCGAAAGCUUGCGCCCAUUUGUCCUUAUCCUCCAUUUCACC